AGGGAUGUAGCUCAGUGGUAGAGUGCAUGCUUUGAAUGUAUGAGGCCCUGGAUUCAAACCCCGGCAUCUCCU
rnacentral:tRNA from 2 species